rnacentral:lncRNA from 1 species
UUAAAACUUCUGACAAAAGCCCAUAUGAUCCCGAGCUCCAAUCACCAAUUCCUACUGCAAAAGCAGCCUCUGCAUUUUUGUCUGUCUGAAUGCUGCUAGCACGGCGGAAAAAAACAGUGAGGGGAAGGAAAACUGAAGAAAUGUAAAAAUCCAACGUACUAUUACAUGGCAAGCGGAAGUCCUGCGCAAAUGGAGUUAAUCGCGGACUCCUUCGAUGCUAGAGACCCCGGAUCAAAAUGCCGAUGCCGAUGAGGACUUCCCUGAGCAGCAUUUGCUGGACGUACAGAAACUCUGCAGUAAACACCUGCUAUCCUCCUUUGUUUUACUAAAACCAUAGGAAAGAGGGACACCAGAUGCCGAG